ACAGACAAAAGUCUGAAUUUUCCCUGUUCGUUGACGAAUCUAAAUUCUAAAGAAUGCUACUCAUCAAAUUAUUCUGCUGAAACUUGAGAAAGGGAGGAGAAGUAGCCGCAAAGGAGUCUUGUGAAAGUUGCCCGAGCAAGCAGGAGGGCUGGGUAAGCUGCAGCCCGGGACCGGCCCAGCAGGGACAAUGGAGCUGUCUGUGCGAGGUGGCAGAGGCGUGGACUGAGAAGGCAGAGUGGCUGGUGUCACAGCACUUAACAGUUGAGAGCAACUCUUCUUAGACUCCGAGGUCUAAUAGGACCUCCGCUGUGCCCGCGAGAAGCAGCGCUGGCGGCUCUCAGCCCUCUCGCAGGCAGAUAGGGGUCAUCAUGGCCCAUUCCCUCCGGAAGAUCCUUGCAGGAGGCACGGAGGCCGGCACUGCUGCCCCCUCUCUCCAGUGCCGCAGAGGAUGCUGCUCUAGGAGGCAAUGGAGACAGAGCAGACGCAGAGUGAGACCCUGCACCCCCACCCCUGUCUGAG